AAGAUAAAUCGACGGAGACACUGAGGGGGCGAAUUGACUCUUCGGACAAUUCUUGGGAGCUCCCAUUGUGAACUUGGCAGGUGGGAAGGAGCUCCCUCCCAUAGGGUGGUAACGAAAAAGUUCAUAUGAAGAGGUUAUAGAUGCCCUAAACCCUUCUACAUUAUCAGCGGCAAGAGUCCGAAGUCUUCAGCCAUCCAUGGCUUUAAUAUCCUCUCCUCGUACCUUCCUCACUGGAAGCCUGCUCCCGCCUUUCCCCAACUACAAGAGGCUACACGGGACCCUUCUGGUGCCCUUCAGGUCUUCCAUCGGCGAUGGCGCAUCAAGUGGGGAAAACGAGGCAAAGUUGGCGAAGUUGGCGAAAUUAGCGAUGGUCUCAUUAGCGGUUGGGAUGCUUGCGCUGGGUAGUGUGGAUCCGAUGGUGGCGACGGCUGCGAAGUCUGGCGGCAGAGUUGGCGGCCAGGCCUUCUGAUCUGUCGCUCCUAGGGUUUCCGGCCUUCGGAUUAACAACUCAAGGUCCAGAGGAUUUUCCACCAAUAUACAAAAGUACGAAACACCGAGACUUGGUUGUUGGUAUUUUUAUGCAAAAGUACGAGACUGUAUGACAACACAACUGGGAGAGGUUUAACCUUGUUGUUGCUUUUGCCCCAAAUAGAGAAUAUGUAACGUAAUGUGGCAGAAUAUCACACUGAUAUCACAUUUGUAUUUGCUCUUUGACUAUGAGCUAUAACAUGUGAUUAUUCCUUAGUACUUUUGUGUUUUCACGGACUUUACUUCAUGUAUCCUUGUACGUUGAUAUGGGUAUCCACAGAAACUUUGCUGCAGAAUAGACAUCACCUUUGGUAUUAACACGACGAUACUUCAACUAAAGGACCAGAAAUGACUAAUGAUGAUGCCAUUAUUCAGGACAAAUAUCUAUGGCAACCCCCCAAUCGCACCACCGUUUUUUUGCGGGUAUGGCUAUGGUGCUCCAUUCUACAGUGGAUGGGGUUGGUCACCUUUCACAUUCUUUGCGCCAGGGCCAGGCAUUGCAGUAGGUGUGGGUGGUGGCUUUGACAUCUUCGUUGCAUUUCUAGUGCUAGGUGCUGUAGGUGUUGCGAUCCGAAGAGUUUUUGGGAGGAAGGAUUAUGAAGACGGUGAGUAUUGAUGCCUUUGUCAAGUUGUGUAAGUAAAUGUACGCAAGGAAAAAUUGCUUUAAAGCUGAUAUAGUUUCGGUGAAUCUAAUUGUACUCAUUUAAGUAGAGCAACUUGUUGUAACAUAAACAACAAGCUCCUGUAAUAUAUACAUUACCAUGUACAGGUAAACUAUGACUAAGCAUUUAGAUAUUUCUGUAUUUCAUUUGUAAUAUUAUUUCAUUCAUACAAACAAAUAAAGGAAUAUUGCAUCUAG